AAAGGCUCAUUAAAUCAGUUAUGGUUCCUUAGAUCGUACCCACAAUUACUUGGAUAACUGUGGUAAUUCUAGAGCUAAUACAUGCAAACAGAGCUCCGACCGGAGACGGAAGGAGUGCUUUUAUUAGAUCAAAACCAAUCGGUGGCGGGUUCGCCCGUUAUCGUACAACUUGGUGACUCUGAAUAACUUUACGCUGAUCGCACGGUCAUCGCACCGGCGACGCAUCUUUCAAAUGUCUGCCUUAUCAACUGUCGAUGGUAGGUUCUGCGCCUACCAUGGUUGUAACGGGUAACGGGGAAUCAGGGUUCGAUUCCGGAGAGGGAGCCUGAGAAACGGCUACCACAUCCAAGGAAGGCAGCAGGCGCGCAAAUUACCCACUCCCGGCACGGGGAGGUAGUGACGAAAAAUAACGAUACGGGACUCAUCCGAGGCCCCGUAAUCGGAAUGAGUACACUCUAAACCCUUUAACGAGGAUCAAUUGGAGGGCAAGUCUGGUGCC
rnacentral:rRNA from 1 species